UAGCACAUCCUUUUGUGUAGC
rnacentral:piRNA from 1 species